rnacentral:rRNA from 1 species
AAUCAACGCUGGCGGCAUGCCUAACACAUGCAAGUCGAACGGGAAAGUGGGAGCAAUCCCAUGAGUAUAGUGGCGCACGGGUGAGUAACACGUGACUAACCUACCCUCGAGUGGGGAAUAACCCCGGGAAACCGGGGCUAACACCGCAUAAUACCGCAAGGUCAAAUGCGCAAGCAGCUUGAGGAGGGGGUCGCGGUUGAUUAGCUAGUUGGUAGGGUAAUGGCCUACCAAGGCAGNGAUCAAUAGCCGGCCUGAGAGGGCGCACGGCCACACUGGGAACUGAAACACGGUCCAGACUCCUACGGGAGCAGCAGUCGAGAAUUUUUCUCAAUGGCGAAAGCCUGAAGGAGCGACGCCGCGUGGGGGAUGAAGGGCUUCGGUCCGUAAA